rnacentral:rRNA from 1 species
UAAUGACUCUCGGCAACGGAUAUCUCGGCUCUUCAUCGAUGAAGAACGUAGCGAAUGCGAUACUUGGUGUGAAUUGCAGAAUCCCGUGAACCAUCGAGUCUUUGAACGCAAGUUGCGCCUGAAGCUAUUUGGCUGAGGGCACGUCUUCCUGGGUGUCAUAC